GGACCCGUAGUGUAGCGGUUUAACACGCCUCCCUGUCACGGAGGAGAUCGCCGGUUCGAAUCCGGUCGGGUCCGCCA
rnacentral:tRNA from 1 species